rnacentral:misc_RNA from 1 species
AAAAACUUUACUGUUGUAUUCACAUAAUUAUAUUCAUAAACCCAAACAAAGCACAACCCACACGUCGACCGUCAACGCAGAUCUUUCUUCUACAUUUAGUAAAAUACCAACUCGUAAUCCGCACCGACCGUUCAACCCAGAAAUCAAUCUCCGAAACGUGCCUGUCUGUGUGAAAAUAUUACAAGCUGAUUGGCUCUUCUAUCCAUCAUUCCUGUUUGAUAAUUUGCCUAAGAGACUAAAGCUGCACCAUGAGUUCCAGGGAGGAGAUCGAUGAUGGAAUUAGGAAACCCUUCCUCCACACCGGUAGUUGGUAUAAAAUGAGCUCCAGGCAGUCCAGCAUAAUGGGCUCCUCCGCCCAGUUUAUCCGCGAUGGCGCUG